UACGGAGGAUCCAAGCGUUAUCCAGAAUCAUUGGGCUUAAAGGGUCCGUAGGCGGUUUUGUAAGUCAGUGGUGAAAGCCCAUCGCUCAACGGUGGAACGGCCAUUGAUACUGCAAGACUUGAAUUACUAGGAAGUAACUAGAAUAUGUAGUGUAGCGGUGAAAUGCUUAGAUAUUACAUGGAAUACCGAUUGCGAAGGCAGGUUACUGCUAGUGGAUUGACGCUGAUGGACGAAAGCGUGGGGAGCGAACAGG
rnacentral:rRNA from 1 species